UGAGAGUCCACACUCUAAAUAGAUUGGAAAAUUUUGGAACUGCUGCAGGCUGCAGCAGCCGCAGCACAACAGCAACCGCGGAAACCAGCAGCUCACAGGCAGCCCAGGGAGCUGCGACGCAAACAGCAGAACCAGGCUACACAGGGCAGCCACCAGGCUACACAGGCAAAGCAGCAACAGCUGGGCAAGGCAGCAAUAGCCACGGUGAUGAAGAAGAAAUAAUUUACUGCAAUAAAGAUUGAGGUGGCAAAAGUCCACCGAAUUGAAGAAAGAAGAAGAUAAAAAGUCAAACUAUAACAGAAGUUAUCAAGUAGGGGAGCUCAGUCUGGAACUGGGGAAGCUCGGUCUGGCAUGAGUGAAUAUGAUCCAAGGUCUACGGGAUAUAGACGUCAAAAAUGUUGAAUGCUAAACUUUAGAGAAUUGAAUGCUACUGUUUGGUACAACUUUGUCUACUUCAAUGUUUUUUAAUUCUAGAUAUGUAUUUUGUAUAACAUCUUUUGAAAAAAUAGUUAUGUGUA
rnacentral:lncRNA from 1 species